CUAGGUAAUACAUCGAUCCGACCUGUCAAUCAAACUAAUCAUUAUUGACCAAUGAGAAAGCUGCAAAUUAUUCACCGAGUCCCGUCCGCCAUCUUUACCCACAAACACAGCAGCGAUAACUGUUUACAACCGGACAUUUUAUUGAAGUUUUAAGACUGAUUUGUGAAAAUGGUUAAACGAUGCGGAUGGGGAAUAUGUUAUGCAGAUUAAGGUAUCCGGAGGGACUAAAUGGAGGCCGAUUUAAACGAUUUCCGACCUAUAAUUUAAUAUAAUCCGAUAUUGAGAAGUGCAAAUGCUGGAUUAAAGCCUGUGGACGGCCACAAGAGAAACUGAAUGUCAACAGGAUAAACAAGCACGAAGAUGUCUGCUCGAAGCACUUUCAUGGAGGAAAUGGACCAUCUUAAGAGUAUCCUGACCCACCAUCAGCUGAUGGCUGGAGAAUAACAUCUUCAAGAAAACUCCCCACAAAGCGGUCACUUGGAAAGGAAACUUAUGGCAGCAUUUAUACACAAAAUGCAAGUGUGCAUUUUAUACAAGAUAUCACAUGCCUGGGCGUUAGAGUUUUAUUUAUCUUUAUGGAGUGCACGGAAGACUUGAAUAACAUGUACCAUGUAGGAUAAAUUGCAAAACUGAGACUGUAUUAUUUUGUAGACUUCUACUCAUUUUUAAAAUGCCACUGUUCCUUUUUCAAUACAAAACAACAGCAUUAUAGUUACAUAUAUUUUAAUACAAGUAUUUUGUAUGUUACAGAAAAUAACACUCAAAAGAACUGAAGAAAACAUUAUUACACGGAAAUUACACAGUUUUUUUGUGUGUAAAUUUGCAUAUAAAUAUAUCAACAUAACAACAAUUUCCUGCAGGAUCCUGCAGACACUGUACCAGGAGUAGAAACACAGACCGAAUGUCCAUGGACGUCACCUUUGGAUGUUUGCACUUUAUACCGCUCAAAAUGCUUCCCUAAAAGAACAGUUGUCACAAAAAGAAGUCCAAGUUGAAGAAUAACAGUCUGCACUUUCAUCAAAGUGUUGUGAAAUUCAGAUUUUAAAGCAACUGGUGGGAAUUUAAACAAACUGUAAAUGUCGAUAUAGUUCUGCUCAAAGAAUCAAUAGUUAAAAUUUGUUUAAAUAUUAUACAGGAAUCAUAUGAUUUUAUUUCUGCUUCUUUGAUAUAAUUGAAUAACUGUUAGUUUAUUCAUGUUUGGAAUAAAGCAUUGUAAAGUGAA